UACGUAGGGUGCGAGCGUUAAUCGGAAUUACUGGGCGUAAAGCGUGCGCAGGCGGUUUUGUAAGCCAGAUGUGAAAGCCCCGGGCUCAACCUGGGAAUGGCAUUUGGGACUGCAAGGCUUGAGUGCGGCAGAGGAGACUGGAAUUCCUGGUGUAGCAGUGAAAUGCGUAGAUAUCAGGAGGAAUACCGAUGGCGAAGGCAGGUCUCUGGGCUGACACUGACGCUCAUGCACGAAAGCGUGGGGAGCGAACAGG
rnacentral:rRNA from 1 species